rnacentral:rRNA from 1 species
ACGAACGCUGGCGGCGUGCCUAAUCCAUGCAAGUUGAGCGAUGAAGAUUGGUGCUUGCACCAAUUUGAAGAGCAGCGAACGGGUGAGUAACGCGUGGGGAAUCUGCCUUUGAGCGGGGGACAACAUUUGGAAACGAAUGCUAAUACCGCAUAACAACUUUAAACAUAAGUUUUAAGUUUGAAAGAUGCAAUUGCAUCACUCAAAGAUGAUCCCGCGUUGUAUUAGCUAGUUGGUGAGGUAAAGGCUCACCAAGGCGAUGAUACAUAGCCGACCUGAGAGGGUGAUCGGCCACAUUGGGACUGAGACACGGCCCAAACUCCUACGGGAGGCAGCAGUAGGGAAUCUUCGGCAAUGGACGAAAGUCUGACCGAGCAACGCCGCGUGAGUGAAGAAGGGUUUCGGAUCGUAAAACUCUGUUGGUAGAGAAGAACGUUGGUGAGAGUGGAAAGCUCAUCAAGUGACGGUAACUACCCAGAAAGGGACGGCUAACUACGUG